rnacentral:rRNA from 1 species
AGGAUGCGAGCGUUAUCCGGAUUUAUUGGGUUUAAAGGGAGCGCAGACGGGUUUUUAAGUCAGCUGUGAAAGUUCAGGGCUUAACCUUGAAAUUGCAGUUGAUACUGGAGACCUUGAGUGCAGUUGAGGCAGGCGGAAUUCGUGGUGUAGCGGUGAAAUGCUUAGAUAUCACGAAGAACUCCGAUUGCGAAGGCAGCUUGCUGGACCGUAACUGACGCUGAUGCUCGAAAGUGCGGGUAUCAA